CAGCCGCCGCGGUAAUACGUAGGUGGCAAGCGUUGUCCGGAAUUAUUGGGCGUAAAGGGCUCGCAGGCGGUUUCUUAAGUCUGAUGUGAAAGCCCCCGGCUCAACCGGGGAGGGUCAUUGGAAACUGGGAAACUUGAGUGCAGAAGAGGAGAGUGGAAUUCCACGUGUAGCGGUGAAGUGCGUAGAGAUGUGGAGGAACACCAGUGGCGAAGGCGACUCUCUGGUCUGUAACUGACGCUGAGGAGCGAAAGCGUGGGGAGCGAACAGGAUUAGAUACCCCUGUAGUCCCUGUCUCUUAUAA
rnacentral:rRNA from 1 species